UACGUAGGGUGCAAGCGUUAAUCGGAAUUACUGGGCGUAAAGCGUGCGCAGGCGGUGAUGUAAGACAGAUGUGAAAUCCCCGGGCUCAACCUGGGAACUGCAUUUGUGACUGCAUCGCUGGAGUGCGGCAGAGGGGGAUGGAAUUCCGCGUGUAGCAGUGAAAUGCGUAGAGAUGUGGAGGAACACCGAUGGCGAAGGCAGCCUCCUGGGCCAAUACUGACGCUCACGCACGAAAGCGUGGGGAGCAAACGGG
rnacentral:rRNA from 1 species